rnacentral:rRNA from 1 species
AUUGAACGCUGGCGGCAUGCCUUACACAUGCAAGUCGAACGGCAGCACGGACUUCGGUCUGGUGGCGAGUGGCGAACGGGUGAGUAAUGUAUCGGAACGUACCUUUCAGUGGGGGAUAACGUAGCGAAAGUUACGCUAAUACCGCAUAUUCUGUGAGCAGGAAAGCCGGGGAUCGAAAGACCUUGCGCUGAUUGAGCGGCCGAUAUCAGAUUAGCUAGUUGGUGGGGUAAAGGCCUACCAAGGCGACGAUCUGUAGCGGGUCUGAGAGGAUGAUCCGCCACACUGGAACUGAGACACGGUCCAGACUCCUACGGGAGGCAGCAGUGGGGAAUUUUGGACAAUGGGGGCAACCCUGAUCCAGCCAUGCCGCGUGAGUGAUGAAGGCCUUCGGGUUGUAAAGCUCUUUCGGCCGGGAAGAAAUCGCAUAGGCUAAUACCCUGUGUGGAUGACGGUACCGGAAUAAGAAGCACCGGCUAACUACGUG